rnacentral:rRNA from 1 species
GACAGAGGAGCCAAGCGUUGUCCGGACUGACUGGGCGUAAAGCGCCCGCAGGCGGCCGUGCACGUGGGGUGUGAAAGCUCGCGGCUUAACUGCGAGAGGCCAUCCCAUACGGCGCGGCUCGAGCCGUCCAGAGGCCGGUGGAAUUGCCGGUGUAGUGGUGAAAUGCGUAGAGAUCGGGAGGAACAUCAGUGGCGAAGGCGGCCAUCUGGGACAACACUGACGCUGAAGCACGAAAGCGUGGGGAGCAAACAGG